rnacentral:rRNA from 1 species
UACGUAGGGGGCAAGCGUUGUCCGGAAUCAUUGGGCGUAAAGAGCGUGUAGGCGGCCCGAUAAGUCCGCUGUGAAAGUCCAGGGCUCAACCCUGGAAUGCCGGUGGAUACUGUCGGGCUCGAGUUCGGAAGAGGUGAGUGGAAUUCCUGGUGUAGCGGUGAAAUGCGCAGAUAUCAGGAAGAACACCCGUGGCGAAGGCGGUUCUCUGGGACGGUACUGACGCUGAGACGCGAAAGCGUGGGGAGCGAACAGG